CAGUCGCCGCGGUAAUACAGAGGGUGCGAGCGUUAAUCGGAUUUACUGGGCGUAAAGCGUGCGUAGGCGGCUAAUUGAGUCGGAUGUGAAAUCCCCGAGCUUAACUUGGGAAUUGCAUUCGAUACUGGUUAGCUAGAGUGUGGGAGAGGAUGGUAGAAUUCCAGGUGUAGCGGUGAAAUGCGUAGAGAUCUGGAGGAAUACCGAUGGCGAAGGCAGCCAUCUGGCCUAACACUGACGCUGAGGUACGAAAGCAUGGGGAGCAAACAGGAUUAGAUACCCGAGUAGUACCUGUCUCUUAUAC
rnacentral:rRNA from 1 species